UACGUAGGGUGCGAGCGUUAAUCGGAAUUACUGGGCGUAAAGCGUGCGCAGGCGGUUGUGUAAGACAGGUGUGAAAUCCCCGGGCUUAACCUGGGAACUGCGUUUGGAACUACAAGACUAGAGUGUGUCAGAGGGGGGUGGAAUUCCGCGUGUAGCAGUGAAAUGCGUAGAUAUGCGGAGGAACACCGGUGGCGAAGGCAAUCCCUGGGCCUGCACUGACGCUCAUGCACGAAAGCGUGGGGAGCAAACAGGAUUAGAAACCCUGGUAGU
rnacentral:rRNA from 1 species